rnacentral:tRNA from 1 species
GUCUAUGUAGUAUAUUAAUUAUACUGGCCUUGUAAACCAGAGAAGGAGAGACAUCUCUCCCAAAGACU